rnacentral:SRP_RNA from 1 species
GCCGGGUGAGGUGGCGGGCGCCUGUAGUCCAGCUACUCGGGAGGCUGGCAGGAGAAUGGCGUGAACCCGGGAGCGGAGCUUGCAGUGAGCUGAGAUCCGCCACUGCAUCCAGCCUGGGGGCGACAGAGCGAGACUCCCUCUCAAAAAAAAAAAAAAAAAAAAAAAAAAGACAGAGUCUUGCUCUGUCGCCUGGGCUGGAGUGCAGUGGUGCAAUCUCAGCUCACUGCAACCUCUGCCUCCUGAGUUCCAAUGAUUCUCCUGCCUC